rnacentral:tRNA from 1 species
UUCCGGGUAGUUGUCGGACGGACUGUUAAUCCGCAGGUCCCAGGUUCGAGCCCUGGUCGGGGAGCCA